rnacentral:lncRNA from 1 species
CAGUAGUCUACCACCAGUAGUCUGCCACCAGUAGUCUACUAACAGUAGUCUACCACCAGUAGUCUGCCACCAGUAGUCUACCACCAGUAGUCUACUAACAGUAGUCUACCACCAGUAGUCUACUAACAGUAGUCUGCCACCAGUAGUCUACUAACAGUAGUCUGCCACCAGUAGUCUACUAACAGUAGUCUACUAACAGUUGUCUGCCAGCAGUAGUCUACUAACAGUAGUCUGCCACCAGUAGUCUACUAACAGUAGUCUGCCAUCAGUAGUCUACUAACAGUAGUCUGCCACCAGUAGUCUACUAACAGUAGUCUACUAACAGUUGUCUGCCAGCAGUAGUCUACUAACAGUAGUCUGCCACCAGUAGUCUACUAACAGUAGUCUGCCACCAGUAGUCUACUAACAGUAGUCUGCCACCAGUAGUCUACCACCAGUAGUCUGCCACCAGUAGUCUGCCACAAUUAGUUUGGUGAGAAAGCUGCUGGAACAGACUGUCUUGUAUUUUAUUUGAAGGCUUAUAGAUUAUUUUUGUCCAGAAUGUUGAUUAAAGCCUUUGUGAAGAACAAAGGAUAACAGGAAACAUGUGAUCAAUGAUUGUUAGCUACUGUACUGCUGCAUUCAUUUCAGAACAACGCGUAGGCCUAGUCUAUUUAGGGGAUAUUUGUACCAUGACGUUUAGCAUGACUUGGAUUAGAAAUACAGAAACCAAACAAACUGAUAAAAUCUUACAUUUCAAUCUGAUCUCGAGAAAAACUGGAACAAUUGAGAAGCUAAGCACACAGUGCUUGAGUCUCAAAUGGUACUCUAUUGGCUCUGGUCUAAAGUAGUGCACCAUAAAGGGAAUAGGGCUCUGGUCUAAAGUAGUGCACUAUAUAGGGAAUAGGGCUCUGGUCUAAAGUAGUGCACUAUAUAGGGAAUAGGGCUCUGGUCUAAAGUAGUGCACUAUAUAGGGAUUAGGGCUCUGGUCUAAAGUAGUGCACUAUAUAGGGAAUAGGGCUCUGGUCUAAAGUAGUGCACUAUAUAGGGAAUAGGGCCCUGGUCUAAAGUAGUGCACUAUAUAGGGAAUAGGGUCCCGUUUGAGACGCACAUCCCCAGUCUCAUGCUUUUGUCGAUGCUGAUCAAAAACAUGAUAUACACCGUCUCUGCUUCAUGUCUUUGGGAUGGACCUGGGCCUUGACUGACUUGAUAUAACUUCUUUACUCAAUGACCUUCAACAACUGGGGAUGUUGCAAUUCUCUCAGAAACGAAAGAAAGCUUUUCCAAUCCAUCACUACUUUUGUACGAGCUGUUGAAACGGGAAAGAGACAGUGAGCAAUGUGGAUGGAACAAUUACUGGUAAGAACACCACUAGGGACGGAUUGGAACCACUAGGGACGGAUUGGAACCACUAGGGGCGGACUGGGACCACUAGGGGCGGACUGGGACCACUAGGGGCGGACUGGGACCACUAGGGGCGGACUGGGACCACUAGGGGCGGACUGGGACCACUAGGGGUGGACUGGGACCACCAGAGGCACACUGGGACCACCAGGGACGGACUGGGACCACUAGGGGCGGAAUGGGACCACAAGGGACAGAAUUUCUAACACAGUGGCCAAUUUUGGUCCUCGAGACCCCGGCACUGGUCUGUUUUCCCCCUUGAAGCCAUCAUUAUUAGCACAAAAACACCAAUUUAGAUAGGCACAUUAGGCUAAAGUUGGACAAGCCCAUCUGGCAUUUGCCAGAAUUUCCCUAUGCUCAGUCCACCACUGAACACCACCUUGCUCCUGUGCUGUCAUGUGGAAGUGGAUUGACGUUGGCGGUCCCAUUCAGGACAAAAUGAUGACACUCAAAAACCCUUGUUAAUGUGUUUUAAUGCGUCUGAAGACCACCAUCAGCUGAAACGAUAAACCACAGUGGAAUCCUAAUUCCACAUGGAAGACAUCACCUACCUGUUGUUGACAGUUAUGUAGCCUCAAAACAGACAGGUUAAGAAAGAUGUUGACAUCUGUUCUUCAAGAGGACAAUGUGGAUACAGAUAUAAAGUAGAGGUCAAUGUGGAUACAGAUAUAAAGUAUGAAUCAUAGAAAUAGAAUUGGUCAUGGGUACAAUCAAAAUGGCCGCCGGUCAACCUGCCAAAACUGCCCCAAUGACUUGAGUUGGAAGGUCCAUUUUAAGGAUCCUACUUAUAUGAUGUGAAUGACACACCCGCAACUAUAAGAGUAUAAAAUAGAUAUUUCCAUAUGCUGUAUUUUUUUUCUAUGUUAAUAACUAGUGUAAUAAUCACUGUAUGUUUGUUGAUUUUAGUUAUUUGAAAUGAUUGGGUUCUGGUCAAAAUAGAAUCAGGGUUUCUCGGAGUCAAAUCAUUUAAUCUUGAGUCACGUCAAUAAUUAGGAUGCUCGUUUGUUUUUCGCAUUGAUUUAUGUAGUUGUGUACAUUUGUGUAUAGAACUUGGAAUUGUAAAUUAAUUUUCUGACAGCAGCAAUUGGUUUUAUUUUUUAAGAUGGGAUACAAUUGGUUUGUGUUACCCACCAUGGGCAUAGAGUUGAAAUAAUAACAGUACUGUCACAUUUGAAACCUAGAUAUGAGUCCCAAAUGGCACCCUAUUCCCUAUAUAUAGUGCACUACUUUUGACCAGAGCCCCAUAGACCUUGGUCAAAAGUAGUGUACUAUAUAGGGAAUAGGGUGCCUUUUGGGAUGUAACUCUAAUGUCACUGCACAUCAGAUUAGUGUCACUUGAAAAUAUGACUUGUUGAGCUAGGUUAGAUUAGUGUUAAGGCUGAUUGACACACAGUAUGCGUUUCAAAUGGUAGCCUAUUCCCUAUAUAUAGUGCACAACGUUUAACCAGAACCCUAUGGGCCCUGGUAAAAAAUUAAAAAGUAGUGCACUACAUAGGGAAUAGGGUACCAUUUGGGAAGCACUCACACUUCCCUGCUCUCUCAUUCCCCACAAUUAAGAAAACAGUCAUGCAGAGUCUGAAAUAUCUAUGUUCACUGCAAUAACAUCAAGGUCAAUGUGAUUGUGUCUUCUCAUAUUCUUUGUCUUUAUUGGGUUUACUGUCAAGAACAUGGCUGCAACACACACACACACACACACACACACACACACACACACACACACACACACACACACACACACACACACACGGAGUCAUGAUGAGGUGUGUGUGUUUAAUCAAAAACAACAAUUUUCUAAUCUUAGUAGAUUGAGUUUAUUUCAUGUCAAAUCCCCCCCCCCAAAACAUUUAUUUUUUUUAAUAUAGGUUUCUUAGUUUUCCAUUUCGUCCUUUCAAGUCCAAGGUCGUGUAGUACAGUUCCAAGGUCGUGUAGUACAGUUCCAAGGUCGAACAGUACAGCUCCAAGGUCGAACAGUACAGCUCCAAGGUCGGACAGUACAGCUCCAAGGUCGAACAGUACAGCUCCAAGGUCGAACAGUACAGCUCCAAGGUCGAACAGUACAGCUCCAAGGUCGAACAGUACAGCUCCAAGGUCGAACAGUACAGCUCCAAGGUCGAACAGUACAGCUCCAAGGUCGAACAGUACAGCUCCAAG